UGUGCAGGGAGGAACGACCAGUGGACACCUUGCUGCUGCUCGGGGACGAAACGGCCAUGGAGAUUCCUCCUCCUCUGCUCCCAAGUCCUUAAUCUGUCGCAAUUAAGAUUGGCACUUCCUAUGUCCCUCCUUUAGUUGCUUAGUCACUAGACACACGCAGCUAGGUUUUCUUUGGUUCAUUGAUAUGGUUCAUCUUCAUCAUGAUGGAUGUGCCCUCACAACCAAAAGGAUCAACAUACCUCCAUGGAGAUUAUUUAAUAACCUAGGUAAGGAUAAAACUAUAAAACUAAAUAGGACACACCUACAGUACGACACGAAUACAGCGGCUGAAGUCUGAACUAAUUAACUGGCGGUUGAUGAUUUCAGUGAAAGAACUCUUUGUUUUUACUUUUUUAUUUUCUUGGUGUAUCCGCAGAUUGCACCGUUUUUUUUGUAUGAGAGGCACUAUUAGAGCCACCAUAAUAAUUCUAGAAGAGAAUUUUAAAGAACCAUCUGAUGUGUUAGCCAAUCAAAUGUAGGGUGUUACAUUAUAGAUUGGUUCGAGAGAGAGUUGGUUCAGUACUAUAGGCUUGUGCGUGACAACAGAAAUAUAUUAAUCCAAGUGGACAUUGUUUUCCUCCAGAAACAAGGUAGAUCCAUCUGGGAUGUGACAACGAAGUGCUGAGCAAAGAAGUGGCUUGGUGGGGAUGGCAUGCUUAAUUUGCUCUAUUUUAAAUUAUCACGCGCCUUCUUUCCUUUUACUUAUUAGUUCUCUCCCUGAAGCUAGAAAGACACCGUGACAUGCAAAUUUGAUCCUAUCAACCUCAAGAAUUAUCUUUUCCUUCUAAAUGUCCCAGCAGAAGAUAAGAUUUGGCUUCACUGAUGUUGCAGCUAUAUUCAUUGUAAGCAGAAGUUUUUUUUUGAAGAGCUAUCUUUCGGGCACAUGCUCAGUUUCAGAUGACUAAAAAACUGGCUUGGUUCAGUUUGCUAACCAGCAGGAGAACAGAAGAGAAGUGGUACUGUCACUCACAUUGCCGGCAAGGUCAUCAGUGAGGCGGUGCCGCGUGGGAGAGGAAGUCAUAGGGGGUCGCUAGAUCUCACAGGGAAGAUCAGGGGAGAGAGGAGCUACCGCGCAUCCGUGCCAAAUCUGACAGACGGCCAUGCUUUUGUGCUAGGUCUGGGUGCCACGGCUGAGGUUCUGUGGAGGAGCAUGUGACACACAAAGCACGAGUAGAUGGAGUGGAGGUGUAGGGAGCACCGGGAGGUAGCUUCGUCCUUACCACGGGCGCUGGUUGGAGAAAAGAAAGGGUGGCGCUGGGUGGUGAAAUAACACGAGGAAGAAAGAGGAGCUCCCGGUGGGAUUGGGGAUUUGGUACUGUUGUUGCUGUAGAUAUUGUACUUUGGCAUCCACUAGAAGUUGCUAUACAUGCACUCGCAUUGAUUUUUUUUCAAAGACAACAUGCCUACUUUUGAAUUCCACCAACAGCAUUGUCGGUGAUGUAGUAUUUUAAAUGUUAAUGUCCAGCAACUAGGUGUGAAAGCGGACGGUGUCUUCAUGUCCACGACCGUGCGCGAAGUAAAAAUUUCACU